rnacentral:rRNA from 1 species
AUUGAACGCUGGCGGCGUGCUUAACACAUGCAAGUCGAACGUGAAAGUCCUUCGGGGCGAGUAAAGUGGCGCACGGGUGAGUAACGCGUGGAUAAUCUACCCUUAAGAUGGGGAUAACGGCUGGAAACGGUCGCUAAUACCGAAUACGCUCCCGAUUUUAUCGUUGGGGGGAAAGAUGGCCUCUGCUUGCAAGCUAUCGCUUAAGGAUGAGUCCGCGUCCCAUUAGCUAGUUGGCGGGGUAACGGCCCACCAAGGCAACGAUGGGUAGCCGGUCUGAGAGGAUGAUCGGCCACACUGGAACUGGAACACGGUCCAGACUCCUACGGGAGGCAGCAGUGGGGAAUAUUGCGCAAUGGGCGAAAGCCUGACGCAGCGACGCCGCGUGAGGGAUGAAGGUUCUCGGAUCGUAAACCUCUGUCAGGGGGGAAGAAACCCCCUCGUGUGAAU